rnacentral:rRNA from 1 species
AACCUGGUUGAUCCUGCCAGUAUCUCAUCUCUUAGUUAAAAGAUUAAUCCAUGCAUGUGUUUGGCACGGUUAUAGUGCCUGCAUACGGCUCAUUAAAACAGAGAUAACCUACCCUCCCAUACAGUCGCAUAACUUUGCUAAUUGUGAGGCUAAUACGUGAUAAUACGUUGCUAUGCAUCACCCUAACUGUAGAAUUGCAAAUACAAGGAAUAUGAUUAGGCGUUUAGACAUGUUCUAAGGAGGAAGGGUCUCUGAUCUAUCAGCUACAGACGGUUAUGUAUUGGAUAACCGUGGCCUUGACGGAUAACGGGGAAUUAGGGUUUGGUUCCGGAGAGGGAGCAUGAGAAAUUGCGCUUACAGCUAAGGUUGGCAGCAGGAGCGAAAACUUUUCUAAUGAGCAACGCUUGAAAAGGUGACGAACUGUAUCAACGUCAGCACUAGUUGAUGAUUGAAAUGAGGUGGAUAUAGAUGAUUCACCGAGUAGCUAGUUCAGGGCAAGUCUGGUGCCAGCAGCCGCGGUAAUACCAGCUGAGCUAGGGAUGGGUAAUUUUGUUGCAGUAAAAACAUUCGUAGUCACUGUUGAAGUAUAUUCGAUCUCUUUCGAGUUCGAUGUUAACAUUCAAUUUUAACAAUCCGCGAUUAAAUUAGAACGAUCAAUUUACAAGAUGAAUACUAAAGCGUGGCAAAUCUGAAGAUACCUUUAUUCUAAACGCAAAUUUGGAAAAAGGAAUAUAUGGGUAAAAAUAAAUGAGGACGGUGGUACUUAUCGGCUAGAGGUGAAAUUCAUAGAUUUUGAUAAUGACCAA